GAAAAGUUUUUGGUUUUUAGUUGAACUAAACAAGGCCUAAGGCUAUCUCCAAUAGAAGAGGCAUUUGGGAACCCAAACCCAAAAUAGUUUUCCAACAUAAUACCUAUAGCCUUUAACAGAGUACCAUACAGAAGACCCAUUUUAGGUAUCAGGAGAGGCAUAACCCAAAUUUGGGUAUCCUCUCUCUUCGAGACCCAUUUGCAGAGAGUGUUGUCUUUUAGGUCUUGUUGUUGGAGAAAACUAAAAAUAGGUAUGGAACCUUUUACCUGUUGCGCUACCAAAGGACAAAUGGGUCUUGUAUUUUGGGUGACCAUUGUUGGAGACAGUCUAAGUCGUAGAGUCAGUGGUACGCGGGCGAUCAGAGCAUCUAGUUAGCGUGUGGACCAGUGGAAAACUCUACACGAAACUCCUGGGAAAGUCACACCUGUCGUAUCGAUGUUGAUGCACUUGACUGCAUUUUAGUGAUGCGCCAUACUUCAACAACCCGGCCCCUAUCUUCAAAAAUAUUCACUCCCACAAAAUAGAAUAUUCUUAAGAACCAAAAACCCUCAAGAAAACAAAAAAAACAUCAUGAAAAUCAUUCAUGACAGCCAACCCUAGAGGACCACCAAAAUAGUGAGGAAGGGAAAUUAAUUUUAUUAUUUGGGGCCGGUCACCACAAAUGAUAUCUUUCAAGGUCUGGCUGCCAAGAAAACAAAAAAAUAUCGGAUUUUUCACUAUGUAAAAAAAACACAUUAUAGACGCGCGUUCAGGCACAUCACAGAUACUUCUGCAUGUGUUUAUUGUGACGCGUGGUAACUAUACAUACACGUGUUACCAACGUGUGACUAUAAUAAUGGCGAAUACACGUUUGUGAUAAGCCCUUAUCAUAAGUACAUACACGUGUCAGCAGUG
rnacentral:lncRNA from 1 species